GACGAACGCUGGCGGCGUGCUUAACACAUGCAAGUCGAACGGAAAGGCCCUGCUUUUGUGGGGUGCUCGAGUGGCGAACGGGUGAGUAACACGUGAGUAACCUGCCCUUGACUUUGGGAUAACUUCAGGAAACUGGGGCUAAUACCGUAUAGGAGCUCCUGCUGCAUUGUGGGGGUUGGAAAGUCUCGGCGGUCGGGGAUGGACUGGCGGCUUAUCGGCUAGUUGGUGGGGUAGUGGCUUACCAAGGCUUUGACGGGUAGCCGGCCUGAGAGGGUGACCGGCCACAUUGGGACUGCGAUACGGACCAGACUCCUACGGGAGGCAGCAGUGGGAAGUCUUGCCCAGUGGGAGGACGCGUGUGGAGAAGGCGCCGCGUGCGGAAUGACGGCCUUUGGGUUAUGAACCGCUGUCGCCUGUGACGAAGCGUGAGUGACGGUAAUGAAUAAAGAAGCACCGGCUAACUACGUG
rnacentral:rRNA from 1 species